UGUGGGAGCGGGCUUGCUCGCGAAGGCGUCAUGUCAGUCAACAACAAUGUUGACUGAUCAACCGCUUUCGCGAGCAAGCCCGCUCCCACA
rnacentral:ncRNA from 2 species